UACAACGAGUCGCAAGACUGCGAGGUUUAGCAAAUCUCUUAAAGCCGUUCUCAGUUCGGAUUGUAGGCUGCAACUCGCCUACAUGAAGUCGGAAUCGCUAGUAAUCGCGGAUCAGAAUGCCGCGGUGAAUACGUUCCCGGGUCUUGUACACACCGCCCGUCACACCAUGGGAGUUGGAAAUGCCCGAAGUCAGUGGCCCAACCGCAAGGAGGGAGCUGCCGAAGGCAGGUUCGAUGACUGGGGUGAAGUCGUAACAAGGUACC
rnacentral:rRNA from 1 species